rnacentral:rRNA from 1 species
UGUUUCGGCUAGGGGGCCAUCCCGGCUUACCAACCCGAUGCAAACUGCGAAUACCGGAGAAUGUUAUCACGGGAGACACACGGCGGGUGCUAACGUCCGUCGUGAAGAGGGAAACAACCCAGACCGCCAGCUAAGGUCCCAAAGUCAUGGUUAAGUGGGAAACGAUGUGGGAAGGCCCAGACAGCCAGGAUGUUGGCUUAGAAGCAGCCAUCAUUUAAAGAAAGCGUAAUAGCUCACUGGUCGAGUCGGCCUGCGCGGAAGAUGUAACGGGGCUAAACCAUGCACCGAAGCUGCGGCAGCGACACUAUGUGUUGUUGGGUAGGGGAGCGUUCUGUAAGCCUGUGAAGGUGGCCUGUGAGGGUUGCUGGAGGUAUCAGAAGUGCGAAUGCUGACAUAAGUAACGAUAAAGCGGGUGAAAAGCCCGCUCGCCGGAAGACCAAGGGUUCCUGUCCAACGUUAAUCGGGGCAGGGUGAGUCGACCCCUAAGGCGAGGCCGAAAGGCGUAGUCGAUGGGAAACGGGUUAAUAUUCCCGUACUUGGUGUUACUGCGAAGGGGGGACGGAGAAGGCUAUGUUGGCCGGGCGACGGUUGUCCCGGUUUAAGCGUGUAGGUGUGUGUUCCAGGUAAAUCCGGUUCACUUUAACACUGAGGCGUGAUGACGAGGCACUACGGUGCUGAAGCAACAAAUGCCCUGCUUCCAGGAAAAGCCUCUAAGCAUCAGGUAACAUCAAAUCGUACCCCAAACCGACACAGGUGGUCAGGUAGAGAAUACCAAGGCGCUUGAGAGAACUCGGGUGAAGGAACUAGGCAAAAUGGUGCCGUAACUUCGGGAGAAGGCACGCUGACACGUAGGUGAAGUGAUUUACUCAUGGAGCUGAAGUCAGUCGAAGAUACCAGCUGGCUGCAACUGUUUAUUAAAAACACAGCACUGUGCAAACACGAAAGUGGACGUAUACGGUGUGACGCCUGCCCGGUGCCGGAAGGUUAAUUGAUGGGGUCAGCGCAAGCGAAGCUCCUGAUCGAAGCCCCGGUAAACGGCGGCCGUAACUAUAACGGUCCUAAGGUAGCGAAAUUCCUUGUCGGGUAAGUUCCGACCUGCACGAAUGGCGUAAUGAUGGCCAGGCUGUCUCCACCCGAGACUCAGUGAAAUUGAACUCGCUGUGAAGAUGCAGUGUACCCGCGGCAAGACGGAAAGACCCCGUGAACCUUUACUAUAGCUUGACACUGAACAUUGAGCCUUGAUGUGUAGGAUAGGUGGGAGGCUUUGAAGUGUGGACGCCAGUCUGCAUGGAGCCGACCUUGAAAUACCACCCUUUAAUGUUUGAUGUUCUAACGUGGACCCGUGAUCCGGGUUGCGGACAGUGUCUGGUGGGUAGUUUGACUGGGGCGGUCUCCUCCUAAAGAGUAACGGAGGAGCACGAAGGUUGGCUAAUCCUGGUCGGACAUCAGGAGGUUAGUGCAAUGGCAUAAGCCAGCUUGACUGCGAGCGUGACGGCGCGAGCAGGUGCGAAAGCAGGUCAUAGUGAUCCGGUGGUUCUGAAUGGAAGGGCCAUCGCUCAACGGAUAAAAGGUACUCCGGGGAUAACAGGCUGAUACCGCCCAAGAGUUCAUAUCGACGGCGGUGUUUGGCACCUCGAUGUCGGCUCAUCACAUCCUGGGGCUGAAGUAGGUCCCAAGGGUAUGGCUGUUCGCCAUUUAAAGUGGUACGCGAGCUGGGUUUAGAACGUCGUGAGACAGUUCGGUCCCUAUCUGCCGUGGGCGCUGGAGAACUGAGGGGGGCUGCUCCUAGUACGAGAGGACCGGAGUGGACGCAUCACUGGUGUUCGGGUUGUCAUGCCAAUGGCACUGCCCGGUAGCUAAAUGCGGAAGAGAUAAGUGCUGAAAGCAUCUAAGCACGAAACUUGCCCCGA